rnacentral:lncRNA from 1 species
CUUGGCUCAAAGCCACUAUUGUCUGUAAAAGGUAAAAUUACCCUGCUGACACUACAUAUGGCUUGCACCCAGAGAGAGAAUAAAGCCAUGUCGAAACCGCCUACUCGAGUGUUUUUCCAGUUACCUGCCACCCACCCACCAACUCCCCUUGGACUUUAGUUUGGGCUAGAACCUGACAAUUGGCAUCACGAACAGGAUCCUAAGCGGCUGCAAGUGAGCAGGUGGUUAGUGGCAGCGCAAGGAGACCACACCCUGACUGAGUGGCUACAGGCAGCCAUAUGAACUGUGUGGAAUAAUGCUGGUGAAAUGCCCAAAACUAUUUAGAAGCAGUGGCACCCCUCUUGUGGCAACAUUUGGCAGCAUGCAGUUGGGCCAUCAACAAAUCCAAGGUCCGAGGGCCUGGAUUACCUGCUAAAUUCUUGGGAGUUAUCUGGUCGGGGCUGAAGUUCCAGGCUGGACCUGAUGCUCCAAACCUUGAAUGAAUGGCCAUGGAAAAGCAGCCCAGCCCAGGUGGAGGCUUUGUUACAUGGGCCACCACCCCUAUUCAGUUGCAGAUACACACCAAGGGUAACCGCCUCUGACCAGGGACACCAUGAUCAACCAGCCAAUGCCAAAGACCUCUGGGGGUCAGACUAUUCUGAGGACUGCUUUGGCUCCACCGUCCACAGUGGCAACCACACCCACUUGGUCUUUUAUGCGGGACAUGGAUGAAGCUGGAAACCAUCAUUCUCAGCAAACUAUCACAAGGACAAAAAACCAAACACCCCAUGUUCUCACUCAUAGGUGGGAAUUGAACAAUAAGAACACAUGGACACAGGAAG